UCGUAGGUGGUUUGUCGCGUUGUUCGUGAAAACCUAAGGCUUAACCUUGGGCGUGCGGGCGAUACGGGCAGACUGGAGUACUGCAGGGGAGACUGGAAUUCCUGGUGUAGCGGUGGAAUGCGCAGAUAUCAGGAGGAACACCGGUGGCGAAGGCGGGUCUCUGGGCAGUAACUGACGCUGAGGAGCGAAAGCGUGGGGAGCGAACA
rnacentral:rRNA from 1 species